CUACGGAGGAUCCGAGCGUUAUCCGGAUUUAUUGGGUUUAAAGGGUGCUCAGGCGGGACAUUAAGUCGGCGGUGAAAUUUUGCGGCUCAACCGUAAAAGUGCCUUCGAAACUGGGAUCCUUGAGUGUGGAUGAGGUAGGCGGAAUUUGUGGUGUAGCGGUGAAAUGCAUAGAUAUCACGAGGAACUCCGAUUGCGCAGGCAGCUUACUAAGCCAUAACUGACGCUCAAGCACGAAGGCGUGGGGAUCAAACAGGAUUAGAUACCCUGGUAGUCCACGCAGUAAACGAUGAUUACUGGCUGUUUGCGAUAUAAUGUAAGCGGCUGAGCGAAAGCGUUAAGUAAUCCACCUGGGGAGUACGUUCGCAAGAAUGAAACUCAAAGGAAUUGGCGGGG
rnacentral:rRNA from 1 species